rnacentral:rRNA from 1 species
AUGGCGACUCCCAAGAGAAUUUACUCGCCUCUGUCGGAGAUCCCCGCCCACCUCUUGGAGCAGAUAUUCCUCCGGCUGCCCGACCCAGAAGACCUCGCCCGCACCUCCGCCGUCUGCGUUACCUUCCGCCGCCUCCUCACCGACGGCUCAUUCCUCCGCCGAUUCCGGCGCCUCCACCCACCACAAGUCCUCGGCAUCCUCGACCUCGGCGGGUUCCACCCCGCUCAGCCGCCUCACCCGUCGGCGCCCGCCGCCCGCGCGCUCGCCCUGGCCGCUGACUUCUCCUUUUCGUUCCUGCCUUCGCGCCGCCGAUGGGCCGUCCGGGCCGUCCGCGACGGCCGCGUCCUCCUCGUCCGCAAGCAAAACAUGAUGGCCGGGGAGCUCUCGAUGUUCCCGGAUCUUGUGGUGUGCGACCCCUUGCACCGGCGGUACAUCCUGCUUCCCCCACUGCCUGACGACCUAGUGGCAUCGGUGGAGAGGCAAGAUGACGAAUUUUUAGGGUGGUCUUGCGAGCCCAGCUUCAUCCCACCUAGCGAUGAGGAGGCUGCCCUGGCGGAAGAGACGGCGUUCAGAGUGAUCUGGUCGGCAUGUUGCAAAACCAAUAUGGCCGUGUUUGUCUUCUCUUCGACCACUGGGCAAUGGCGAGCCGCUGCAUCCCAGGCCUGGAGUGAUCUGGUCAUUAACAGGAAGCCUUUGUAUUUUAUCAGGCGCCAUUUGGUGGACGGAUGCGUCUACUGGGUCUCGCCGAUGAACAAUACAGAUUUGCUUGUGCUUGACACCAGGACUAUGGAGUUCUCCGUUGCUGACCUCCCACCCGGAGAAUGGAGCCAGCAGGAUAUAGCUAUUGUGGAUGCAGGGGAAGGCAGACUUGGGAUGUUUUGUGUAGAUGAUGAAAAUGCAAGUGAUAAAUCUUAUCUCUGUUAUACCAUCAGGCAAAACAGAGGCGAGAGCUCUGGCGAGUGGCAGAUGGAGAAAAUCUCACUAGGUUCUGGGUAUCGGUAUUGUAUCGGAGGUGGAACAGAGAAGUACUUGAUCCUACAAAGGAUAGAAGCCCAGAAGUACUUAUCGCUAACACCACCAAUCAUGGAAUUUUGCAAACUGGAUGUCAGGACAAUGCAGGUUGAGAGGAUUUGUGCUGAAUCUUGCGGGUUCUCUGGGUCUAAAGCGUUCAUAUAUACCAACUUCCCACCGUCGUUGUUGUCUUUACCGACAGUAUGA